GACGAACGCUGGCGGCGUGCCUAAUACAUGCAAGUAGAACGCAGUUGCGAACGGGUGAGUAACGCGUAGGUAACUGCCUCAUAGCGGGGGAUAACUAUUGGAAACGGUAGCUAAUACCGCAUACUGUGGGAUGGACCUGCGUUGUAUUAGCGAGUUGGUGAGGUAAAGGCUCACCAAGGCGACGAUACAUAGCCGAACUGAGAGGGUGGUCGGCCACAACGGGACUGAGACACGGCCCAGGCUCCUACGGGAGGGAGCAGUAGGGAAUCUUCGGAAAUGGACGGAAGUCUGACCGAGCAACGCCCCGUGAGUGAAGAAGGUUUUCGGAUCGUAAAGCUCUGUUGUGAGAGAAGCGUUAACUAACCAGAAAGGGACGGCUAACUACGUGCCAGCAGCCGCGGUAAUUC
rnacentral:rRNA from 1 species